GUCUUACUGGCCCUCUGAAUGUAUGGGACAACCACUCCUUAUUGCUCAUCAUGCUUGGGACAGAUCCUGUAAUAUAUGUAAUAAGCUUAUAGCCAGUUGUACAAAGCCAAGUUCUCACAUUAGAGGUUUAGCCUAGUUUAGGAAAGUUUAGAAACAGAUAUGGUCGUUAAGAGAUUAGCAUUCGUUUUGUUGUUUUAUUAUUUUGUAAAUGUACCUGCAAGAAACUUCACCACAUGCACCCCCCCCCCCAGACUUUGAGCCAUGAAGUUGAGUUAAUCUGGGAAAUGUUCUUUAAUAUUAAUGUUUCUUUAGGUGCAAUUGUACUAUGUGUACCGAUGUGAUUGGCUGAUGCAGGUAGGCGGUCCACAACCAACCGUAUAAGAUCGGCUCGUCUUCAUCUGAACGAUGCGUGUUGGAGAAGCGAUCUCCCUGAUAGCCACUUGACUAAAGAAGCCCACCCAGAACUAUAUGCAGCGAAGGUUGUUUAUGCUGAGGUGGUGAACAAACCGCUGGGGGACCGGCAAUUUAAAUUCGGAUGGAUCAGCCACUCCGGAGUGCUGCUGACGGUGGAAGUAAAGUUGUUGACCCAUAAGAUAGGCUGUGGAGCCGUACUGCAGGACCCAGCAGUGAUGGAAGGUGUGAAGUGGGAGAGAAUCUCCGAAAGGGAAUGUUUUAAGGGAGCAACUGUUGGUGACCUCCUGGAGGCUGGGGGCAGCGGCUACAAUGUCGCCAUCGAUAACUGUCACCAAUAUAAAAAUAUGGUUGACAAAAAAAUAAAGCGAACCAUGGGGAAGGAGUAAAACCUACUCAUCAAACGUUUUCAUGUAUAGAUGAAUAUACUUAUGAUUUUCCCAGAGUCCAUCGAGUAUCAGAUAAGAAAAAUAAAAAAAUACAUUCAUUAAUCGUGUUUGUUUCAUUUUUGUAAAAUCCUAAAUAA
ensembl:lncRNA